GACGUAGGGGGCGAGCGUUGUCCGGAUUUAUUGGGCGUAAAGCGCGCGUAGGCGGCUGCGCAAGUCGGUUGUGAAACCCCGGGGCUCAACCCCGGAACUGCAUCCGAUACUGCGUGGCUAGAGGUAGGUAGGGGAGAUCGGAAUUCCUGGUGUAGCGGUGAAAUGCGUAGAUAUCGGGAGGAACACCUGUGGCGAAAGCGGCUCACUGGACCAUUACUGACGCUGAUGCACGAAAGCUAGGGGAGCAAACAGG
rnacentral:rRNA from 1 species